GAUGAACGCUGGCGGCGUGCCUAAUACAUGCAAGUCGAGCGAACGGACGAGAAGCUUGCUUCUCUGAUGUUAGCGGCGGACGGGUGAGUAACACGUGGAUAACCUACCUAUAAGACUGGGAUAACUUCGGGAAACCGGAGCUAAUACCGGAUAAUAUUUUGAACCGCAUGGUUCAAAAGUGAAAGACGGUUUUGCUGUCACUUAUAGAUGGAUCCGCGCUGCAUUAGCUAGUUGGUAAGGUAACGGCUUACCAAGGCAACGAUGCAUAGCCGACCUGAGAGGGUGAUCGGCCACACUGGAACUGAGACACGGUCCAGACUACUACGGGAGGCAGCAGUAGGGAAUCUUCCGCAAUGGGCGAAAGCCUGACGGAGCAACGCCGCGUGAGUGAUGAAGGUCUUCGGAUCGUAAAACUCUGUUAUUAGGGAAGAACAAAUGUGUAAGUAACUGUGCACAUCUUGACGGUACCUAAUCAGAAAGCCACGGCUAACUACGUG
rnacentral:rRNA from 1 species